rnacentral:rRNA from 1 species
CCCUAGUAACGGCGAGUGAAGCGGCAACAGCUCAAAUUUGAAAUCUGGCGUCUUUGGCGUCCGAGUUGUAAUUUGCAGAGGGCGCUUUGGCAUUGGCAGCGGUCCAAGUUCCUUGGAACAGGACGUCACAGAGGGUGAGAAUCCCGUACGUGGUCGCUAGCCUUUACCGUGUAAAGCCCCUUCGACGAGUCGAGUUGUUUGGGAAUGCAGCUCUAAAUGGGAGGUAAAUUUCUUCUAAAGCUAAAUACUGGCCAGAGACCGAUAGCGCACAAGUAGAGUGAUCGAAAGAUGAAAAGCACUUUGGAAAGAGAGUUAAAAAGCACGUGAAAUUGUUGAAAGGGAAGCGCUUGCAGCCAGACUUGCCUGUAGUUGCUCAUCCGGGUUUUUACCCGGUGCACUCUUCUAUAGGCAGGCCAGCAUCAGUUUGGGCGGUUGGAUAAAGGUCUCUGUCACGUACCUCCUCUCGGGGAGAACUUAUAGGGGAGACGUAAUGCAACCAGCCUGGACUGAGGUCCGCGCAUCUGCUAGGAUGCUGGCGUAAUGGCUGUAAGCGGCCCGUCUUGAAACACGGACCAAGGAGUCUAACAUCUAUGCGAGUGUUUGGGUGUCAAGCCCGAGCGCGUAAUGAAAGUGAACGGAGGUGGGAACCUUUCGGGGUGCACCAUCGACCGAUCCUGAUGUCUUCGGAUGGAUUUGAGUAAGAGCAUAGCUGUUGGGACCCGAAAGAUGGUGAACUAUGCUUGAAUAGGGUGAAGCCAGAGGAAACUCUGGUGGAGGCUCGCAGCGGUUCUGACGUGCAAAUCGAUCGUCAAAUUUGGGCAUAGGGGCGAAAGACUAAUCGAACUAUCUAGUAGCUGGUUCCUGCCGAAGUUUCCCUCAGGAUAGCAGUAACGUUUUCAGUUUUAUGAGGUAAAGCGAAUGAUUAGAGGCCUGGGGGUUGAAACAACCUUCACCUAUUCUCAAACUUUAAAUAUGUAAGAAGUCCUUGUUACUUAAUUGAACGUGGACAGUUGAAUGUAUCGUUACUAGUGGGCCAUUUUUGGUAAGCAGAACUGGCGAUGCGGGAUGAACCGAACGCGGGGUUAAGGUGCCAGAAUAUACGCUCAUCAGACACCACAAAAGGUGUUAGUUCAUCUAGACAGCAGGACGGUGGCCAUGGAAGUCGGAAUCCGCUAAGGAGUGUGUAACAACUCACCUGCCGAAUGAACUAGCCCUGAAAAUGGAUGGCGCUCAAGCGUAUUACCCAUACCCCGCCGCUGGGGCAAGAUUUAAGCCCCAGCGAGUAGGCAGGCGUGGAGGUCCGUGACGAAGCCUG